rnacentral:rRNA from 1 species
AGAGUGCGUAAUAGCUCACUAGUCGAGAGGUCCUGCGCCGAAAAUGUCCGGGGCUGAAACACGACACCGAAGCUUAGGAAUCGAAAGAUUGGUAGAGGAGCAUUGAAUACGGAACGAAGCAGUACCGGAAGGAGCUGUGGACUGUAUUGAAGAGAGAAUGCCGGAAUGAGUAGCGAGAUUUAAGUGAGAAUCUUAAAGGCCGAAUAUCUAAGGUUUCCAGGGUAAAGCUGAUCUUCCCUGGGUAAGUCGGGGCCUAAGGCGAGGACGAAAGUCGUAGUCGAUGGAUAACAGGUUGAAAUUCCUGUACCGCAUAUAUUCAGAAAUGUGGGGACACAGAUGGAGAGUACAACCCGGGAAUGGAUAGACCGGGGCAAGCGAGGUAGGAGAAUGGCAGGCAAAUCCACCAUUCAAUCUGAAGACGUGACGCGUACCGAACAAGAGUAGGGAAGUGUAUGAGCCAGCUGUCGAGAAAAGCCGCUAUUGUGAUAUAUGCGCCCGUACCGUAAACCGACACAGGUGGAUGAGGAGAGAAUCCUAAGGCCGGCGGGAGAAGUGUUGUUAAGGAACUCGGCAAAAUGACCCCGUAACUUCGGGAGAAGGGGUGCCUCGGAAGAGGCCGCAGAGAAAUGGCCCAAGCAACUGUUUAGCAAAAACAUAGGUCUAUGCAAAACCGAAAGGUGAGGUAUAUGGGCUGACGCCUGCCCGGUGCUGGAAGGUUAAGAGGAGAGGUUAGCGCAAGCGAAGCUUUGAAUUUAAGCCCCAGUAAACGGCGGCCGUAACUAUAACGGUCCUAAGGUAGCGAAAUUCCUUGUCGGGUAAGUUCCGACCCGCACGAAAGGCGUAAUGAUUUGGGCACUGUCUCAACAACACACCCGGUGAAAUUGAAAUACCAGUGAAGAUGCUGGUUACCUGCGCCAGGACGGAAAGACCCCAUGGAGCUUUACUCCAGCUUGAUACUGGGAUUCGGUACUACCUGUACAGGAUAGGUGGGAGGCUAUGAUCACGGGACGCCAGUUUCGUGUGAGCCGCUGUUGGGAUACCACCCUUGUAGUACUGGAUUCCUAACCUACAGCCGUGAACCGGCUGGGGGACAAUGUCUGGCGGGGAGUUUGACUGGGGCGGUCGCCUCCGAAAGGGUAUCGGAGGCGCUCAAAGGUUCCCUCAGAAUGGUUGGAAACCAUUCGAAGAGUGCAAAGGCAGAAGGGAGCUUGACUGCGACACCGACGGGUGGAGCAGGUACGAAAGUAGGACUUAGUGAUCCGGUGGUAUAAAGUGGGAUUGCCAUCGCUCAACGGAUAAAAGCUACCCUGGGGAUAACAGGCUUAUCACUCCCAAGAGUUCACAUCGACGGAGUGGUUUGGCACCUCGAUGUCGGCUCAUCGCAUCCUGG